rnacentral:rRNA from 1 species
AUUGAACGCUGGCGGCAGGCCUAACACAUGCAAGUCGAGCGAGUGGCGGACGGGUGAGUAAUGUAUGGGGAUCUUCCCGAUAGAGGGGGAUAACUACUGGAAACGGUGGCUAAUACCGCCUACUAUCGGAUUAACCCAUAUGGGAUUAGCUAGUUGGUGGGGUAAAGGCUCACCUAGGCGACGAUCUCUAGCUGGUCUGAGAGGAUGAACGGCCACACUGGAACUGAGACACGGCCCAGACUCCUACGGGAGGCAGCAGUGGGGAAUAGUGCGCAAUGGGGGAAACUCUGACGCAGCCAUGCCGCGUGAAUGAAGAAGGCCUUCGGGUUGUAAAGUUCUGUCGGUAGCGAGGCGUUAACUACAGAAGAAGCACCGGCUAACUCCGUGCCAGCAGCCGCGGUAAUUC